rnacentral:rRNA from 1 species
UACAGAGGGUGCAAGCGUUGCUCGGAAUUAUUGGGCGUAAAGGGCAAGUAGGUGGUCUCAUUUGUCUGGGGUGAAAGCCUUGAGCUUAACUCAAGAAGUGCCCCGGAAACGGUGAGACUCGAGUACUGGAGAGGGUCGUGGAAUUCCCGGUGUAGCGGUGAAAUGCGUAGAGAUCGGGAGGAACACCAGAGGCGAAGGCGGCGACCUGGACAGUUACUGACACUCAACUGCGAAAGCGUGGGGAGCAAACAGG